rnacentral:rRNA from 1 species
GACGAACGCUGGCGGCGCGCUUAAUACAUGCAAGUCGAGCGAGAACCAGAGCUUCGGCUCUGGGGAAAGCGGCGAACGGGUGAGUAUCACGUGAGUAAUCUGCCCUCGGCACCGGGAUAGCCCGGGGAAACCCGGAUUAAUACCGGAUGGCCUCUCGAGCCCUCGGGCUCGUGAGAAAAGUUAGCUUCGGCCUCCGGCCGCGGAGGAGCUCGCGGCGGAUUAGCUUGUUGGUGGGGUAACGGCUAACCAAGGCGACGAUCCGUAGCUGGUCUGAGAGGACGAUCAGCCACACUGGGACUGAGACACGACCCAGACUCCUACGGGAGGCAGCAGUAGGGAAUCUUGCGCAAUGGGCGAAAGCCUGACGCAGCGACGCCGCGUGCGGGAAGAAGGCCUUCGGGUUGUAAACCGCUUUCAGGAGGGACGAAGCCACUCGGGUUAAUAGCCCAGAGGGUGACGGUACCUCCAGAAGAAGCCCCGGCUAACUACGUGCCAGCAGCCGCCGUAAAAC